rnacentral:rRNA from 1 species
UCCAGACUCCUACGGGAGGCAGCAGUGGGGAAUAUUGCACAAUGGGGGAAACCCUGAUGCAGCGACGCCGCGUGAGCGAUGAAGUAUUUCGGUAUGUAAAGCUCUCUCAGCAGGGAAGAAAAUGACGGUACCUGACUAAGAAGCCCCGGCUAACUACGUGCCAGCAGCCGCGGUAAUACGUAGGGGGCAAGCGUUAUCCGGAUUUACUGGGUGUAAAGGGUGCGUAGACGGGAUAACAAGUUAGUUGUGAAAACCCUCGGCUCAACUGAGGAACUGCAACUAAAACUAUUAGUCUUGAGUGCAGGAGGGGGAAGUGGAAUUCCUAGUGUAGCGGUGAAAUGCGUAGAUAUUAGGAAGAACACCAGUGGCGAAGGCGACUUUCUGGACUGUAACUGACGUUGAGGCACGAAAGUGUGGGGAGCAAACAGGAUUAGAUACCCUGGUAC